GCCUGCGUCCACACGGUAAUUUCGUCGAACAUCUUUCGUGCAACAACUUGGGAAACGUUAAACGUGGCAGUUAGGAUGUGGUUUUUACCCAUUGCGUGGUGAGGCGUUGGUGGCGGCCGCGGCCGCGCUCGAUGGGGCGUCGGCCGGUGAGGAGCUCCACGAGGAGGACGCCGAAGGAGUAGACGUCGCUGCGGUCGUGUUGUCAGGCGCUAGCCGUGCGAAGCCGAAAUCGGCCACCUUUGCUCUAAGUUGAUCAGUUAGGAGAAUGUUGGAUGACUUGAUGUCACGGUGGAUGAUUGGAUGGUCUGCAUGCCCAAUUGCACAUUGUUGUGAAAUGCCAUCAGAAAUUAGAACGCUAGCAAUUUGGUAUCAUUUUAGGUACCGAUAGUAGAUAAAUUCUGUGGGUUCUAAUUUUAAUGUGUACAACUUCUCAAAAAAAAUUCUCACCUUGAAUGUGUGCUUAUGUAAUUAAAUAUGGCGAUGACAUGAUUUAUAGGUGUUCAGGGCUUUAACUAUGCAACGCUUUUGAGCUCACAAAGGUGUCAAACAUGAAUGCCAACAUAUUCAUGCUAUACGCAUAGUGCUACUGUUGGUUUAUUCAGGACAAUUGCAGAUUUCCUCUAGGGAAGUCAGCUUCUCAAAAAAAAAGAAGACGUGCUUGUUGAUAAGAGAGAGCUAUGCCUAUGCUAAUUGCAAUAGAGACUUGUUUCAGUUAUAUCAUGUAAAAAUUGUGUGGUCUA